AUGGUGUGGUGCCAGUUAAACAACCUCUACCUCAGGAAAACAAAGGAGCUGAUUCUGGACUUCAGGAGGAAUCAAGCUGGGCAUGCCUCCAUCCUCAUCAACGAAGCCGCCGUGGAGACGGUCAAAAACUUCAGGUUCCUCGCUCUCCGGGGGCUCGGCCACACUGACCUGCUUGCUGAGUGGCUACUCCCCCCAGGGGGCGAUGGUGAGCUGGGAGGUGCACGGGCGGAGGUAACAGAGGGGGUCCUGACCACCACAGAAGAAGAGAAGGGUGGCCACUACAGCCGCAGCAGCACCUUGACCCUGAGCAAGGCACUCUGGGAAGAGGGAGAGGUGUACACCUGCAGGGUUAACCAUGACGACACCAGUGAUUCAGCCGCCUUCCGGAGAAUGAUCUUCACUGUAACAGCUGCAGCAUCACAACACAGAGAGGUUUUUGUACCAGCAGUAAUAGGGAUUGUAUCACUGUGGUUGACUUUUGGUAGCGGCACCAGACUUGAUAUUGGAAGUAACAGUGCCCCCACCCUCACCGUCCUGCCCCCCUCUAGUGAGGAGCUGUCCAGUACAACAACAGCCACACUGAUGUGUCUGGCCAACAAGGGCUUCCCCUCAGACUGGACCAUGAGCUGGAAAGUGGAUGGGACCAGCAAGAAGCAGGAGGCCAGUCCCGGGGUCCAGGAGAAGGACGGCCUGUACAGCUGGAGCAGCACACUGACUCUCACUGCCCAGGAGUGGACCAAGGCAGGAGAGGUGACCUGUGAAGCCCAGCAGAAAUCCCAGAGUACAGUCACCAAGACCCUGAGGAGGGCUGACUGUUCUGGGUAGGACCCCUCAGUCACACACCCCUGUGGGGAGAGGCUGCUGGUUCCUCUUCUUUGACUCUGUUCUGAGAUCAGAUGUUCUCUGUCUUAUUGAUCACUGACAUGUAGACUAACAGAGGGCUUUGCUUGAGUUCAUGUUCCAAUCCUCUCUGUAGACUGAGGUUGUAUCAGUGUUAGAUGUGAUGUGUUCUGUUUUAUUAUUAUUAGAUAAUGUAGGAAUGUUUGCUUUGAUGCUUUGAUUAAUAGACGAAAAUAAAGAUUUCCCUGAAGAACAAA